GUAGGUGAACCUGCGGAAGGAUCAUUAGAGAUUGGCCUCUGGCCGUGUCUAUUCCACACACACCGUGAACUGUACGUCUUGGGGGCUCUCGGGCCCCGGACGCAAACACCAAAAACAUUAGUGUAAUGAAUGUAAAUCAUUGUAACAAAAACAAAACUUUCAACAACGGAUCUCUUGGCUCUC
rnacentral:misc_RNA from 1 species